UACAGAGGCCCCAAGCAUUAUCCGGAAUCACUGGGCGUAAAGGGUGUGUAGGCGGUUCUAUUAGUCUCUCGUGAAAGAUCUUGGGCUUAACCCAGGAGACGCGGGGGAAACGGUAGGGCUUUGAGGACGUAAGAGGUACAGGGAACUCAUGGUGUAGGGGUGAAAUCCGUUGAUAUCAUGGGGAACACCAAAUGCGAAGGCACUGUGCUGGUACGCUCCUGACGCUGAAACACGAAAGCGUGGGAAUCGAAUGGG
rnacentral:rRNA from 1 species